rnacentral:lncRNA from 10 species
GGAAUGAAUUUAAGAUUAAAUGGAGGCACUUCUUCCUAUACUUCCCACUAAGUAUAGCUAAAACCAUGGAUAUUAUAGAUAAAACAAACACUAAAAGGCUCUUGAAGGUGGAGAGAAGACAGAACAAUUGGAAGCCUUGGGACCUUGGGAAUGGCAUGGCAGUGAGUUCUCUGGGUUUUCUUUUCUUCCUCAUAUAUCUGGAACUGGAUGCUGGAGAAACCACUGGAAAGACCAAUGGGCGCAAACGAAAAAAAUAAAAUAAAAUCCCCAAGAAAGCCUGGUCUCUCUGGCCAAAAGACCAGGAAAGGACUAAUUUGGCAAGACAGAAAACUUUUAGACAAAAAUCACACUAUCCUUGCCAAACAUCAUGGAAAGAACCACAACCCUGUUGCCAUCCCAUUAGCAAAUGCUGAGUGGCAGCCUGGAUUUCUACCCUUACCUGGCUGGGACAAGGCACACUUAAAAUUCCCCUGCUGGGCCAGGCGUGGUGGCUUACACCUGUAAUCCCAGCAUUUUGGGAGGCUGAAGGGGGCAGAUCACUUGAGGUCAGGAGUUCAAGACCAGCCUGGCCAACAUGGUGAAGCCCCAUCUCUACUAAAAGUACAAAAAAAUUAGCCGACCAUGAUGGUGCACGCUUGUAAUCCCAGCUACACAGGAGGCUGAGGCAGCAGAAUCGCUUGAACUAGGGAGGCGAAGGUUUCAGUGAGCUGAGAUUACACUAUUGCACUCCAGUCUGGGUGACAGGCCGAAACUUUGUCUCAAAAAAAAAAAAAAAAAAAAAAAAAAGGUUUCAAUGAGCAAUUAUAAACACACUUGAAACAAAUAGAAAAUGAAAAAUAUCAGCUGAGAAAUAAAAAAUUUAAAAAGAACCAAAUGGAAAUUUUAGAACUGAAAAAUAGAAUAACCAAGAUAAAAAGCUCAAUAUAUGGGCUUACUAGCGAAUGGGGGAAACAGAGGAAAAAUUAACGAAAUGCAAGACAGAAUAGAAAUUGCCCAAUCUGAACAACAGAAAGAAAAUGGGCAGAAAAACAAAAUAAAAUAAAAUAAAAAGAAUCUCAGGGACCUGAGGGGCUACAACAGAGGAUCCAGCAAUCACAUCACUUUAGUCACAAAAGGAAAGGAGACAGGGGGUGGAGCUGAAAAAAUAUUCAAAAAAAUGAUAGAUGAAAUGUCCCCAAAUUUGGCAAAAGAUCUAAACCUACCUUAGCAAACCCCAAACAGAGUAAACUCAAAGAAAUCUAUGCCAAAGACACAUCAUAAUCAAAUUUCUGAAAACUAAAGACAAAGAAAACAUUUCUGAAAACAAUGGGAGAGACAGACAACAUUAUACCUUCAGGAAGAAAUAAUUUGAGUGACAGCAGAUUUCUCAUCAGCAAUCACAGAGGCCACAAGGAAGUAGAACAGCCUUUUUUAAAUA